UACGGAGGGUGCAAGCGUUGUCCGGAUUUAUUGGGUUUAAAGGGUGCGUAGGCGGCCUGUUAAGUCAGUGGUGAAAGCCUCCAGCUCAACUGGAGAACUGCCAUUGAUACUGUCAGGCUUGAGUACAGACGAGGUAGGCGGAAUUGAUUGUGUAGCGGUGAAAUGCAUAGAUACAAUCAAGAACACCGAUUGCGUAGGCAGCUUACUAGGCUGUAGCUGACGCUGAGGCUCGAAAGCGUGGGGAUCAAACAGG
rnacentral:rRNA from 1 species